CUUCUUAGAGGAACUCUAAAGCUUGGUGAUGUUGGUGGUCAUUGUUGCAGCCAUUCAAUGAUUCUACUUUCUUUUUGGUUUUAAGGGGAAGAUUAAGCCUCCGAUCGGGGGUUUGUUCUGGGAGCCUUAUUUCUGUGUUUAUUUCGUCAAGGUUGUUCACCUCUAGUUAAUUUUUUGAGGUUGACUUUGACCAGACCUGAGUCUGAUGCCUUGUGCCUAGUGGGGCAUAGCCAUGUUGGAUGCGGCCGAUCUGUCAGUAGGCCCGGUUUUGGGGCUAGGGCAUGAUAUUGUAUGUGAUGGGGUUGUGAAACAAGAGCAAAAGGAGUUUCUUAGAUGGAUUUUUGCAAAAGGAGUUUCUCAAAUAUUUUUUAAGUAGGAAUAUUAAAGUCUUUGUUGAUGGAGAAGGAUUUUAAGAAGACUUUGAAAACCUAAAGUUGUGACUUUCACUCUCCCUGAUGGUGGCUUGCAUUAUUAUAGUUGUCCUACACUUGUACUUUUAUCUUUUUUUGUGUUUUAGUCUUAUUUAACAUUGAAUGAUUAGUUAUGAUGA